rnacentral:rRNA from 1 species
GAUGAACGCUAGCUACAGGCUUAACACAUGCAAGUCGAGGGGCAGCAUGAAAGUUUGCUUGCAAACUUUUGAUGGCGACCGGCGCACGGGUGAGUAACACGUAUCCAACCUGCCGAUGACUCGGGGAUAGCCUUUCGAAAGAAAGAUUAAUACCCGAUGGCAUAGUUCUUCCGCAUGGUAGAACUAUUAAAGAAUUUCGGUCAUCGAUGGGGAUGCGUUCCAUUAGCUUGUUGGCGGGGUAACGGCCCACCAAGGCAUCGAUGGAUAGGGGUUCUGAGAGGAAGGUCCCCCACAUUGGAACUGAGACACGGUCCAA